rnacentral:rRNA from 1 species
UACGGGGGGGGCAAGCGUUGUUCGGAAUUACUGGGCGUAAAGGGCUCGUAGGUUGCCAACUAAGUCAGACGUGAAAUCCCUCGGCUUAACCGGGGAACUGCGUCUGAUACUGGAAGGCUUGAGUAUGGGAGAGGGAUGUAGAAUUCCAGGUGUAGCGGUGAAAUGCGUAGAUAUCUGGAGGAAUACCGGUGGCGAAGGCGGCAUCCUGGACCAUUACUGACGCUGAGGCGCGAAAGCUAGGGGAGCAAACGGG